UACGUAGGGGGGCAAGCGUUGUCCGGAAUCAUUGGGCGUAAAGCGCGUGUAGGCGGUUCAGUAAGUCUGCUGUGAAAGUCCAGGGCUCAACCCUGGGAUGCCGGUGGAUACUGCUGGACUAGAGUGCGGAAGAGGCGAGUGGAAUUCCCGGUGUAGCGGUGAAAUGCGCAGAUAUCGGGAGGAACACCAAUUGCGAAGGCAGCUCGCUGGGACGUUACUGACGCUGAGACGCGAAAGCGUGGGGAGCAAACAGG
rnacentral:rRNA from 1 species